CAUAUAUGUAAUUGAAGCGUCAUCUAAAUGAACAGCAGUGUACAGGCUUUGAACCAAACCCAUUCACAAGAUCAGUCAGAAUUUACCAUUCUAACACCCAAAUAAAUACUUCCCAGACUCGUCGUCAACUGUGUGAAGGACAGAAUCCCUCUUUCAAAUAAGAACAUUUAAAAUAAAAAAAGGUGGCAGAUGGUGUAAGCACAUAAAACAUCCAGAACGCUGAGAUACAUUCUCACACGGUGUUUGAUGGACCAAACGUAGCACAACGAGGGAAAGUAAAGGCAGUGAGUCGUGUCCUGUGUCCAUCGACUCUCCUUGUUAAUAACAGAUCACAAACCAAACAGAUUAUAAGCAAAUGAACAAUCCAAAGUGCAACAAAACAAAACAAAAUUAAGGCCAAAACUUUUCACAAAAAUAAUCUAAAUAUUCUAGUUAAGUAACAACUGAUUCAAAAGCUCACAACUUCUUCCUAUUAAGGAGAAUAUUAACAAUAAAAAAAACAAAAAACUUUCACAUUUCCACGUUUACACUCUUCCGAGAUGUAGACGUAAAUCCAGGAUGUUAAUUUCGUUAAUCUUCAAGUUAAUCACAACAAACGUAGACUAAGAGAAAUGAUUGUGGAUCAAAAAUAAGGACAUAUUAUUUAUUUCUUACUCACAGCGAGAACCACCGUGUGUGUGUAUAUAUAUAUAUAUUAUCAUUGUAAAAGUAAAUAUAACCGGUAAAUGAGGUUAUCAUCAGUUAAUCAAUCAACGGGUUUACACUGGAAACCUCCCACAAAUUACUUUGUCGUCAUGGCACAGCAGGUGGCUUGCACUUUGGAAACAGGCAUGUUGGACAUUGCACUUUUUGAAAUCACCGUCUUUCUUUUUUUUUUGACACAUCUUACAGGUUCACUCGUGAGUUCCCCAGUUUAUUCACCGUGGAAACAAAACUACGGGAGUCGGCGAGAAGACGCUCGGACACGGCGCGCGGGCUAUUUCUUAUCUGUAGCAGAGAUGGACUGAAAGAAAGCACGAUGGUUUGUCAUGGAGCUAUUGGCGGUGCGAGCUGAAGAGCCAACAUGGAUAAGGAGUUUAAUUAAUAGCGACAGAACUAAAGAUGUCCGCGGUCAACUGGCGUCGACCCUCUCACCUCUGCACACUCGUGGAGACCCCGCUCCUUUUGUCUUUAGGCAAGAAAGUGGAAUGCAACAAAGGGGGGAGGGAGGGAGCGCACACUAAACAGAAAGGAGGGAAGGAAGGAAAUGGAGUACGUUCAAUGUGUGUGUGUCCAAAGAUGGCGAAUGAGAGAAACUCAAAAUGUACCCACCCACAUGAAUAAAGAAACGACAGAAAACUCAAAA